rnacentral:rRNA from 1 species
GGGGCAGCACGGGUAGCAAUAUCUGGUGGCGACCGGCGCACGGGUGGGUAACGCGUAUGCAACCUACCCCUAACUGGGGGAUAGCCCGAAGAAAUUCGGAUUAAUACCCCAUAACAUUCCCGGGAGGCAUCUCUUGGGUCUUAAAGCUCCGGCGGUUAGAGAUGGGCAUGCGUGACAUUAGCUAGUUGGUGAGGUAACGGCUCACCAAGGCUGCGAUGUCUAUGGGGUCUUAAAGGAUGAUCCCACACACUGGUACUGAGACACGGACCAGACUCCUACGGGAGGCAGCAGUGAGGAAUAUUGGGCAAUGGACGCAAGUCUGACCCAGCCAUGCCGCGUGCAGGAUGAAGGCCCUACGGGUUGUAAACUGCUUUUAUGCAUCAAGAAACCCUCGAACGUGUUCGAGGUUGACUAUUGCAGGAAUAAGCAUCGGCUAACUCCGUGCCAGCAGCCGCGGUAAUACGGAGGAUGCAAGCGUUAUCCGGAUUUAUUAGGUUUAAAGGGUGUGUAGGCGGGAGAUUAAGUCAGUGGUGAAAUCCUGCAGCUUAACUGUAGAAUUGCCAUUGAUACUGGUUUCCUUGAGUGCAGUUGAGGUAGGCGGAAUGUGUAAUGUAGCGGUGAAAUGCUUAGAUAUUACACAGAACACCGAUUGCGAAGGCAGCUUA